UGUGGGAGCGGGCUUGCUCGCGAAUGCGGAGUGUCAGUCAAUACAUGUAUGGCUGAUCCACCGCAUUCGCGAGCAAGCCCGCUCCCACA
rnacentral:misc_RNA from 1 species